rnacentral:rRNA from 1 species
AACCGGGAGAGGUAAGAGGUACGUACAGGGGUAGGAGUUGAAAUCUUGUAAUCCCUGUGGGACCACCUGUGGCGAAGGCGUCUUACCAGAACGGGUUCGACGGUGAGGGACGAAAGCUGGGGGCACGAACCGGAUUAGAUACCCGGGUAGUCCCAGCCGUAAACGAUGCUCGCUAGGUGUCAGGCAUGGCGCGACCGUGUCUGGUGCCGCAGGGAAGCCGUGAAGCGAGCCACCUGGGAAGUACGGCCGCAAGGCUGAAACUUAAAGGAAUUGGCGGGGGAGCACAACAACGGGUGGAGCCCUGCGGUUUAAUUGGACUCAACGCCGGACAACUCACCGGGGGCGACAGCAAUAUGUAGGCCAAGCUGAAGACUUUGCCUGAAUCGCUGAGUGGAGGUGCAUGG